rnacentral:ncRNA from 1 species
UUAUGGUUUACAUAUUUUAUUUAAAACUUAUUUUACAUAUAAAUUUUAGUGUUAAUUAUAUAUUAUUUAAAUAAUAAUUUAUAUUUUAUGUAGUAAUUAAUAUUAAAUUAUUUAAGAAAUUAAGAUUUAGUAAUGUUUUAAUUAAUAACAAAUUUUGUGCCAGCAGUUGCGGUUAUACAAAAAUUGAAUUAAAUUUUAUUGAUAAUUAAUAAAUAAUUUUAAAAAAAAUUUAUAAUAAAAAUUUUAAAUUAUUAGGUGAAAUUUUAAUUUAAUAAAAUUUUAUAAUUAUUUUAUGAUUUAAUAAAUUUUAUAAAAAACUAGGAUUAGAUACCCUAUUAUUAAAAUUUAAAUUAAAAAUAUCAAAAUAGUAAAUAAUUAUUUAUUGAAACUUAAAUAAUUUGGCGGUAUUUUAGUUCAUUUAGAGGAAUCUGUUUAAUAAUUGAUAAUCCACGAAUAAAUUUACUUAAUUUAUUAUUUUGUAUAUCGUUGUUAAAAAAAUAUUUUUUAAUAAAAUUAAUAUUUUAAAAUUAUUAUUUAAAUUUAAAUCAGAUCAAGAUGCAGAUUAUAAUUAAGAAUAUAAUGGAUUACAAUAAAUUUAUUUAAAUGAAUAUUAAUUUGUAAAAGUUAAUUGAAAGUGGAUUUAAAUGUAAUUUUAUUUAAUUUAAUAAAAUGAUUAAUAAUUAAAAUAUGUACAUAUUGCCCGUCGCUUUCAUAUAAUUUAGAAAUUGAAAUAAGUCGUAACAAAGUAGAGGUACUGGAAAGUGUUUCUAGAAAGAA